UUGGUUCCUCAACUGAUCCAAGGUGUCCAUGACUUUUUUUUAUUUUUUUUAUUUUUUUUUGGCGCUUGUGCUUGAGCUGACCUUGCGGACCCUAAUACCCCUGAGCCGUCCUUCCGAACCCAUGUGCCUUUGGUUUCUCAACUGAUCCAAGGUAUCCAUGACUUUUUUUAUUUUUUUUUGGCGCUUGCGCUUGAGCUGACCUUGCGGACCCUAAUACCCCUAAGCCGUCCUUCCGAACCCAUGUGCCUUUGGUUUCUCAACUGAUCCAAGGUGUCCAUGACUUUUUUUUAUUUUUUAUUUUUGGCGCUUGCGCCUGAGCUGACCUUGCAGACCCCAAUAUCACUGAGCUGUCCUUCCGGACCCAUGCCUCUUCGGUUUCUCAACUGAUCCAAAGUGUCCAUGACUUUUUUUUUUUGGCGCUUGUGCUUGAGCUGACCUUGCGGUUCCCAAUACCCCUGACCUGUCCUUCCGGACCCAUGCACCUUCGGUUUCUCAACUGAUCCAAGUUGUCCAUGACUUUUGUUUUUAUUUUUUUGCGAUUGCGCUGGAGCUAACCUUGUGGGCCCCAAUACCCCUGAGCCAUCCUUCCGAACCCAUGCGCCUUCGGUUUCUUAACUAAUCCAAGGUGUCCAUGACUUCUUUUUAAAUUUUUUUUUUUUUUUUGGCGCUUGUGCUUGAGCUGACCUUGCGUGCCCCAAUACCUUUGAGCCAUCCUUCCGGACCCAUGUGCCUUCGGUUCCUCAACUGAUCCAAGGUGUCCAUGACUUAUUUUAUUAUUAUUAUUUUUUUGGCGCUUGUGCUUGAGCUGACCUUGCGGACUCUAAUACCCCUGAGCCAUCCUUCCGAACCCAUGCGCCUAUGGUCUCUCCACUGAUACAAGGUGUCCAUGACUUUUUUUUAUUUUUUUUUUUGGCGCUUGCGCCUGAGCUGACCUUGCGAACCCUAAUACCCCUGAGCUGUCCUUCCGGACCCAUGCCUCUUCGAUUUCUCAACUGAUCCAUGGUGUUCGUGACUUUUUUUUUUUUUUUUUUUUUGCGCUUGCUCUCAAGCUGACCUUGCAGUUCCCAAUACCCCUGAGCACUCCUUUCGGACCCGUGCGCCUUCAGUUUCUCAACUGAUCCAAGGUGGCCAUGACUUUUUGUUUUUGUUUUUUUUGCGCUUGCGCUGGAGCUAACCUUGCGGGCCCCAAUACCCCUCAGCCAUCCUUUUGAACCCAUGCGCCUUCGGUUUCUCAACUAAUCCAAGGUGUCCAUGACUUUUUUUAUAAAAAAAAAAAAAAAAAUUAUUUUGGCGCUUGUUCUUGAGCUGACCUUGCGAGCCCCAAUACCCCUGAGCCAUCCUUCCGGACCCAUGCGUCUUCGGUUUCUCAAUUGAUCCAAGGUGUCCAUGACUUUUUUUAUUUUUUUAUUAAUAUUUUUUUUGGCGUUUGCUCUUGAGCUGACCUUGCGGACCCCAAUACACCUGAGCCGUCCUUCCGGACCCAUGCGCCUUCGAUUUCUCAACUGAUCCAAGGUGUCCAUGAAAUUUAUAUUUUGGCGCUUGCACUUGAGCUGACCUUGCGGGCCCCAAUACCCUUGAGCCAUCCUUCCAUACCCAUGCACCUUCGGUUUCUCAACUGAUCCAAAGUGUCCAUGACUUUUUUUAUUUUAUUUUUGGCGCUUGCGCUUGAGCUAACCUUGCGGAUUCCAAUACCCCUGAUCUGUUCUUCCGGACCCAUGCGCCUUCUAUUUUUGAACUGAUCCAAAGUGUCCAUGAAUUUUUUAUUUUUUAUUUGUUAAAUUUUUGGCGCUUGCGCUUGAGCUGACCUUGCGGACCCCAAUACACCUGAGCCGUCCUUCCGGACCCGUGCACCUUCGGUUUCUCAACUGAUCCAAGGUGUCCAUGACUUUUUUUUUUCUUUCUUUUUUUUGGUGCUUGCACUUGAGCUGACCUUGCGGGCUCCAAUACCCCUGAGCAACGAAUCCAAGGUGUCCAUGACUUUUUAUAUUUUUAUAUAUAUUUUUUUUUUGGCUCUUGCGCUUGAGCUGACCUUGUGGGCCCCAAUACCCCUGAGCCGUCGUUCCGGACUCAUGCGCCUUCGGUUUUUCAAUUGAUCCAAGGUGUCCAUGACUUUUUUUUUAUUUUUUAUUUUAUUUUUUUGCCUUUGCGCUUGAGCUGACCUUGUGGACCCCAAUCCCUUGAGCCGUCCUUCUGGACCCAUGUGCCUUCGGUUUCUCAAUUGAUCCAAGUUGUCCAUGACUUUUUUAUUUUAUUAUUAUUAUUUUUGGCCCUUGCGCAUGAGCUGACCUUGCAGACCCCAAUACCCCUGAGCCGUCUUUCAGGACCCAUGCGCCUUCUGUUUCUUAACUUAUCCAUGGUGUCCAUGACUUUUUUUAUUUUUGUUAUUAACUUUUUUUUCGCGCUUGCGCUUGAGCUGACCUUGCAGACCCCAAUACUCCUAAGCUGUCCUUCCAGAUCCGUGCGCCUUCAGUUUCUCCUUUUCAUUUCCACCGACUCUCAAGCGGUCCAUAACCUAGUCUUUGCGUGAGAAAAUGAACAAGUCUAGCCCCGUAGGUGUACUCAUUACCUUGCAUCUCUUAUUGCUUACACCUAUUGCCCUUCUUUGUCUUUUGUCGAAGUGCAUGCAGCUUUCUAUCAGGGAAACGCAUAAGUUGAGUAAAGAUAGCCUUGAUUGGUCAUAUCAGACCAGGCUUUGUUGCCAGAGCCUUAGGCGAUUAUCUGAGUCGAUCGUAUCGAGUCCUAUCUUUGCUUUUGAAAAAAAAAAAACCUUAUCCCCGUGACUUUUGUGAAUUAUUUUUCCCUACAACUUACACCCUCUGCUAUAAAAGGUCGGUCGAUAGAGAUACAUUUCAUUCGUAAAACCGUUCAUACUUUGCUUUUAUUUUUCAUAUAAGCUCUAGGCGUGAAGGGAGAGGAAAGUGUUUUGUGCAUUUGAGAACUUUGCCGAAGGCCCUUUUUCUUACUACGACCCAGUAAGUACUAUUUUCAUCUUUGCUAUUUUCAUGUCGAGGCACGAGAUUUGGCCCAAGUCUAGUGGUGUCCCACCGAGCUACGAGAUACUUAAGGCUCUCACUAAAGGAUGUGUUCCCGACAACUUGGGGAUCAAUUCUCUUCCUUUGGGGUCGAAUAUGUACACUGGUGCGGGUAUCCCUCAGGGCUCCUUAAUUCUUUCGCCAGCCCAUUUAGAGCAUGUUAGGUUCCCACUCCACCCCCUUUUUCAUAUGCUCAUGUUCUUCUUGGACCUUCACCCCAUGCAACUAAACCUAAAUUUUUACCUUCUCAUAUCCGGUUUUCAAGCCGUCGGGUUGAAGUGGGGUGUGUCCCUUGGCUUUAAGGAUUUUAUUUACCUCCAUGACUUAGCUUGUAUUAGAGGGGAAAGUCACUAUUUCUUUUUUACCCCUAGGUCUGGUAAAAAAAAAUUCUCUUGUAAACUUUGGUAAAAAAAAAAUUCUCUUGUAAACAGUUAAUGCCUUGGCUGGCUAAUCUGG
rnacentral:lncRNA from 1 species